rnacentral:rRNA from 1 species
AUGGAUUUACAACUCAAGAAUUACAACUCAAAACUAGAACGAGAUAUGACUCUAUAUGAAUGCCUCCGGCGGUGUACCGGGAUAUGCAAUGAAUCAAGAGCGACAUGUAUGAAGAUUAUGAAGGUGGCUUUGCCACAAAUACGAUGUCAACUACAUGAUCAUGCAAAAGAGCAAUAUGACAAUGAUGAAACGUGUCAUACUAAAUGGAACGGUGGAAAGUUGCAAGGUAAUAUAUCUCGGAAUGGCUAUGGAAAUGCCAUAAAAGGUUGGUAUGGUGGCUGUUUUGAGGAAGGUAAAUAA